UAUUCAUUGCGCGUGAAUACUCACGAUUCAAAACUUGAGGAGAAAAUGAGAAUGGUGAGGUUAGAGGUUGUUUUUGACAGACAACGCAAAUACACGUGAUCACGAUAUAACGAUAAACAGUCAUGGUAUUUUACUUCACAAGUGAUGUGGUCCAACCCCCAGUGACACUUUUUAUGGGUGUUGAUAAGUUUGAAAAUGAAGACCUUAUAAAAUGGGGAUGGCCAGAAGAUGUUUGGUUUCACGUUGCGAAGUUCUCCUCAGCACAUGUUUAUUUGAGGCUAAGACAUGGUCAAACAAUAGAUGACAUACCAAGUACAGUCUUAGAAGAUGCUGCACAAUUGGUCAAGGCAAAUAGUAUCGAGGGUAACAAGAUGAACGAUGUUGAUGUUGUUUAUACUAUGUGGUCCAAUCUAAAGAAAACUCAAGGAAUGGAAGUUGGUCAGGUGGGAUUUCAUCGAGAUAAAGACGUUAGGAAGAUACAUGUAGCCAAACGAAUUAAUACUAUUGUAAAUCGACUGAUCAAGACCAAGCGGUCUGAAGAGGUGAAUUUUAGAGCAGAGAAAGAGCAAAGAGAUAGAAUCGAGAGAGAAGAUAAGAAAAAGAUUUUGAGGGAACAAAAAGAAAAAGAGAAAGCUGAAGAGAAGAAGCGGCAAGACGAAGCUGAAAUGAGGAGUUACAAUUCUCUGUUUAAUUCAACCAAUAUGACAUCAAACACCGAGAACACUGGCUAUGACUCGGAUGACUUCAUGUGAUGGAUAUUAUGGUGCGUCAAUCUACUGACAGUCUCUUGACCAAUAUUCAACUUUAAUUUUAUGAUUCUCAGGCAUGAAAACUGGUGUGUCUACUUCAUGAUGUGGAAGGAUGAUUCUUCCGAUCCUAGCUUUCGAAGAAGAGCACUCAGCAAAAACCUCAAAAGUCAGUGGCAAUCGUUUCUCCAUUGCCAUUUUUGGCUGCAAACAA